AAACUGCAUAGGGGUUAAGCCCGAUGAACCUGAAUAUCUGAACUGGGAAAUUCAAUGCUAUUUAGUAAUUUAUCUAAACAAUAAACGAACGAUGGUAUGCACUUCUCUCAUAGUAGGACAUUGCGAUCCAUUAGUGAUUCUUUUUAGAUGGUUUAUCAAACGGCCCGUUUGGUUUGCUUAUUCUAUCUGUGGCACUUGUGUCAUAUGAAUAAUACCGAUCGGUGACCUGGUAAACAGCUGAUGGAGCUUAACAAUCAUGCAACCAUGCAUAUGUAUCACGGUCUAUAUAUUUAUAUGUAGAUGCAGUGAUAGCAUGUAUUUGAUUAGCAAUGCGAUAGAUUUGGGAUACCUUCGGGACCCGUCUUGAAACACGGACCAAGAAGUCUAACAUGUGUGCGAGUCAUUGGGUAUGUGUUGAAACCUAAAGGCGUAAUUAAAAUAACUAUUAUGGGAUUACAAGUAAUUUAAAAUAUUACUUCUCCAUCCCGGGGCGUUCUAUACGAACAUGGUUUAAGCAAUUAGACCCUCUGUUCAAGAGCGUACCUUGAGCAUACAUGCUGUGACCCGAAAGAUGGUGAACUAUACCUGAUCAGGUUGAAGUCAGGGGAAACCCUGAUGGAGGACUGAAGCAGUUCUGACGUGCAAAUCGAUUGUCAGAAUUGGGUAUAGGGGCGAAAGACCAAUCGAACCAUCUAGUAGCUGGUUCCCUCCGAAGUUUCCCUCAGGAUAGCUGGUGCAAUUAAAAUUCUAAUAUAUAAUCUUAUCUGGUAAAGCGAAUGAUUAGAGGCCUUGGGGCCGAAACGACCUCAACCUAUUCUCAAACUUUAAAUGGGUAAGAACCUCAUCUUUCUUGAUGUGAAGAUAUAGGGGUUUAGAUAUAUUGUGCCCAGUGGGCCACUUUUGGUAAGCAGAACUGGCGCUGUGGGAUGAACCAAACGCGAUGUUACGGCGCCUAAAUUUAUGACUCAUAUUGAUACCAUGAAAGGCGUUGGUUGCUUAAAACAGCAGGACGGUGGACAUGGAAGUCGUAAUCCGCUAAGGAGUGUGUAACAACUCACCUGCCGAAGCAACUAGCCCUUAAAAUGGAUGGCGCUCAAGUCAUAUGCCUAUACAUCGCCGCUAGAAUAAAGAGAUAUAAGGUUUACCUUAUAUUUUUGAAAUUCUAGUGAGUAGGAGGGUACAAUGGUGUGCGCAGAAGUGUUUGGCGUGAGCCUGCAUGGAGCCGCCAUUGGCACAGAUCUUGGUGGUAGUAGCAAAUAAUCGAAUGAGAUCUUGGAGGACUGAAGUGGAGAAGGGUUUCGUGUGAACAGUGGUUGAUCACGAGUUAGUCGGUCCUAAGCUCUAUGCGAAAGCUGUUUAAUUUAUGUU
rnacentral:rRNA from 1 species